UGGAGGGAAGCCUGGAGGAAGCCAAGCAGUUAUUUGGACGCUUGCUCUUUAAUGAUCCGGACCUGCGCGAAGUCUGGCUCAAUUAUCCUCUCCACCCACUCCAACUACAAGAGCCAAAUACUGAUCGACAACUUAUUGAAACUUCUCCAGUUCUACAAAAACUUACUGAGUUUGAAGAAGCAAUUGGAGUAAUUUUUACUCAUGUUCGACUUCUGGCAAGGGCAUUCACAUUGAGAACUGUGGGAUUUAACCAUCUGACCCUAGAUGGGGUUUCUUCAUGUUGCCAGGCUGGUCUCAAACUCCUGGGCUCAAGUGAUCCACCUGCCUCAGCCUCACAAAGCACUGGGAUUAGAGGCAUGAGCCACUGCAGCCGGCCAGA
rnacentral:lncRNA from 10 species